UGCACGCAUGACUGUAUGUCGCUUUGGAUAAAAGCAUUUGCUAAAUGGCAUAUC
rfam:Salmo salar isolate Sally breed double haploid chromosome ssa04, whole genome shotgun sequence.